rnacentral:rRNA from 1 species
UACGGGGGGGGCAAGCGUUGUUCGGAAUUACUGGGCGUAAAGGGCGCGUAGGCGGCGUGACAAGUCACUUGUGAAAUCUCCGGGCUUAACCCGGAGCGGCCAAGUGAUACUGCCGGGCUAGAGUCCGGAAGAGGCGAGUGGAAUUCCUGGUGUAGCGGUGGAAUGCGCAGAUAUCAGGAGGAACACCGAUAGCGAAGGCAGCUCGCUGGGACGGUACUGACGCUGAGGUGCGAAAGCGUGGGGAGCGAACAGG